rnacentral:rRNA from 1 species
CAGUAGCCGCGGUAAUACGUAGGUGGCGAGCGUUGUCCGGAAUCAUUGGGCGUAAAGGGAGCGCAGGCGGGCAAGUAAGUCUUUCUUAAAAGUUCGGGGCUCAACCCCGUGAUGGGAAAGAAACUACAUGUCUUGAGUACAGGAGAGGAAAGCGGAAUUCCCAGUGUAGCGGUGAAAUGCGUAGAUAUUGGGAGGAACACCAGUGGCGAAGGCGGCUUUCUGGACUGCAACUGACGCUGAGGCUCGAAAGCCAGGGGAGCGAACGGGAUUAGAUACCCCUGUAGUCCCUGUCUCUUAUACA